CCCAGACUCCUACGGGAGGCAGCAGUGGGGAAUAUUGGGCAAUGGGCGCAAGCCUGACCCAGCGACGCCGCGUGAGGGAAGACGGUCUUCGGAUUGUAAACCUCUUUCAGCAGGGAAGACAAAAGGACGGUACCUGCAGAAGAAGCCACGGCUAACUACGUGCCAGCAGCCGCGGUAAUACGUAGGUGGCAAGCGUUAUCCGGAAUUACUGGGUGUAAAGGGUGUGUAGGCGGAGGUGCAAGUCAGCGGUCAAAUUGCGGGGCUCAACCCCGUACUGCCGUUGAAACUGCAUCCCUUGAGUGCGCGAGAAGUAUGCGGAAUGCGUGGUGUAGCGGUGAAAUGCAUAGAUAUCACGCAGAACUCCGAUUGCGAGGGCAGCAUACCGGCGCGCAACUGACGCUCAUGCACGAAAGCGUGGGUAUCGAACAGGAUUAGAUACCCCUGUA
rnacentral:rRNA from 1 species